AUAACCUUUCCUGCUACUUUACAGACAAAACAGAAGUGAGGACUCCCCCAGCUGUUCCCACCCCCAGCACAGAGCUGCCACCCACCUCUCCGGCCUGGAUAAGGCUCUGCUUCCUACAAAGUGUCUUCACGGCCACAUUUGCCCCUUCCCCUCCUGGCAGCCCAAGGGCCCUUCCAAAAGCUGAAGUCUGAUGGGACACUGGAGCAUGACUGUGACCCGAGGAGGGAAGUGCAACGUGUGUGUCUCUGUCCCUUGCUGCUCCUUGACACAGUGUUCAAGAUGCUCUAUGAACCCACGAUGCGUCAGUGAUCGGUAAGACUCAAAGUGAGCACAAGUGGUGCAGAUGCUGGAAGUCCUUUGAAGAAGUGAUCCACAAUGGAAUGAGUGUCUGGGACUUAGGCAGUAAGGUCCUUGGUUCUGGAAGAUUUCAAACAGCAAUUAGAAGAUGUCUAUAAGAGAUGCGGUAGAAGAUUCCUGACAUGCGUACAGUGAUCCUCAAGACUCCCUUUAAAGCUAAUAAUUCCAUAACUUUUAGUGGGGGAGUGACAGGUCCACAUUCCCUUCUCUGAUACCACUGGGACCAGAUUAUUCCAGAAUUCAGGACUUUCAUAUCUUAUAAUGUAUGCAUAUAACUUGCAUUAUGUAACACCCCUAGGGGAGUUUGGAAAGCACCCCAAAGCCCAACACACUAGUAUCUCUGGAGAAAACCAUAAGCAGGUGACAAACACAAACCAUGAAAAGCCUCAUGUUAGGUUUAGCUGGGAAACAAACUCAGGGAGGUCAGAUUGUCCCACCAAAUAUGGGAAGUCUUUUGGAAUUUGAAGCUUUUGGACUUUCAGAUAAGGGAUUAUGGAUCUGUUUGUGAACUCUUAAGUCAUUUCACAGAUUGGAAAAAAACAAAACAAAAAUCCCAAACAAUGUAUACAUGGAGGCACCUGAGAUGUCUUUAAAUUUCAUGAUGGGAAGAAAGAAACCAACACUUGUACACUGGUUUAGACCUGAUGAAAGUGCUUGGGGCUCCACUGUCUAUUAGACACUCACCGUGACCUUAUGAACGAAGACGCAUCAUCUCCAUCCUUUGGGGACAGGGAAACUGAAGCUUCCACAGAGCCGGCAUCACAUAGUACAUGCUAGUGCCUGUGUGAGAACACACAGAUUUGGGACUCCAAAUAUCAGGCUUUUUCUAUAACCUCAAAAACCUCCUAAAUGGUGCCCAGUGAAUGUAUUUCAGGCAGUGCUGCCAUUCAGAGGGAUGCCCCCAUCUAGCUGUACUGAAUGUUGGAGUUCUUCCUUUUAGGUGAUAUAUCACCAAGGCCCUAAGUCUGUGGAGGCCUCUAGCCUUAUCCUGCUGCCCCAGAGUGCCCCAGACUCUCCCAAAGUGUAGUAACUGUGCAAAGGGCAGACGCCUGGCAGAACAGGGACCCCAGGGGCUGGAGACUGUACCCUAUUGUAGCUACAUAUUUGGAACAUCACACCUACUAGAAUUGUGCUAAGAUACUGACCAGUCCUUGAGUAUGUUGCCUUCCACCAAGAAGAGAGCACUCCCCUCCCCCAGAGAUGUUCUAUGUGUGUUUAGCUGGGAAGCUCUGCACAGCUGCACGCUGGUAUAUCCAUGCUUGCCUGAGAAUCACAGCUGCCUGGAGCUCUUGGGAAACACAGACUCCUGGGCCCCAUCCUGACCUAUUACAGAAUCAGAAUCUCCUGACACAGGCGCAGGUGUUUUGUGCACAAACGUUCCAGCUGAGUGCCGCCUAGAGUUGGGCAAGUUUGGAGAUCACCGUGGCACUCCAUUUACUUUGGUAAGAAGGAUCUAAUCAACCCAUUCAAAUUUGCAGAGGCAACAGUAAACAACUCUGUCUAGCUCUUCCACAUAAGCACAUUUAGAGACAAAAUUUUCAGCUCUAAUGGUUUCCACAUUUCUUUCCUUGUCACUUCCUCCUUUUGUCAAUGUCAAUGUAUAUGUGUGUAUUUCCAAGGAUGCCAUGCCUUGCCCCAUGUCCUGUAGCAACCGGGCUGUGCCCACCCCACCCAGGCUGACCGGGUGCUCAGUGAGCACAUUCUCCACUGUGCUUCACCCCACCCCAUUGUGGAGAUCUCAGAAACAGUGGGUUCCCCAGGUGACAUUCAACCUCAGAUGUGCAUUUGUCACGCUCAGUUCUAAAUUGGCUUGUUUUGGCAACCACCUGAUGUUUCUAAAUAUGUGUUCUCCACAUGUCCUCUUGCCUGAAUCUUGAGAAAUCUACACAGGAACUGGUAGCCUAGCUACGGAGAGAAGGUUUUUUCCCCUUCCUUUUCCCUUUGAAGCUGCCUGUGGUUGCACCCAAACGCUGCAGAUGCAACCAUGGAUGUGUGCGCUGUAUCCUCAGCCAGCUCUGGGUCAAGAGCCUGCUUGGCGUUUUUAUGUUUCCCUUCUUAUGAAGGAUAAGGAAAUGUGGGGGCAAAUGGAAUCUCUGCUGGGGACAUUUUCAGCCGCCGAUGCCACCAAAAGGAAGUGAAUUUCUUUUCUGUUUAUAUCUCAGGAAAUAAUCUGUCACAUUUGAAAUCAUUUCAGAAAUAUCUACUGCUCAUAAACUUUCUGUUCCUUCAUCCCCUGAUCUGUUGAUUCUGUAACAUUAUAGAGGGAAGGAAGAAUGGAUUAAGCAGCAUAAAAUACCAUAAGUUCCUUAAAAUGAGGAUCCACAUUUUCUUGUAGAAAUGAGCUGGAAUCAAAGCCCAGCAGCUCAUUGUAAUUCAUUGGCUGUGUGACCUUAUAAAAGUUACUUAACUUCUCUGAAUCUUGGUUUUUCUUUACAUAAAAUGGAGAUAAUAAUUGUAGUCAAUUGUAAAAAUGGUCACAAUCUUCCACUCCUCCCCAAAUGCUCACCACUGGCAGUGGGCUUUGCAGUUCCUCCUAUCAAGAAGUGAUGUCCAUUUCCCAUUCCUUUUUAAUUUGCUUUGGUCAAUGGAAUGAUAGGUGCUGGUUCUGAGUCUAGGUUCUAGGAGACGCAUUGCACAUGUCUGUCUUGGAACUCUGCCCAGUUGCCAUGCGAGAAAUCUGGCCUGGCUUGCUGGAGGAUGAGAGACACGUGGAACUGAAAGGAACCAUUCCAAGGAAGGCCAUUCUAAAUCAGCCAGCCUCCAGUCAACCCAGCACUGGGUACAAAGGCAAAGGUGAACCCAGAUGAAUUUUUUCUCCUGAAGAGGCAAGAAUCAAGUUGCUGCAGACCCAUAUGGAUUUGCUGCUGCUAACAUACUUUGGUGUCGUGACUCAGAUACGUCCCCAGUGGUCAUCAAGCUCCAGAUGAUCCUCAGUGAGGGAUGCCAUCCUCUCAAUAUUCAAGUCACCCUUCUACAGCGGACCCCUAGACUGCCCAGCAGAGGGACACGACAGAGAUAAAAUCCUGCCCAUUUCCCUUGGACCUGGCUGAAUACCACUUUCACCAACCCAUGGAGCCACCCUGCCCUGACAGCUAGCAAGAGUCCAAGACCCACAGAACAACCACCACCACCCCUCUGUCAGCAGGAAGCAGUUAGAGAAGACUGACCUUCAUCCCGUUUCCCAAAGAAUUGGGUCUUGGACUCUUGAGUGGGAAAAUGUUAGAGUAGGGCAGGAGAGCACUGCCUUCCCAACCCCCUUCUCUGACACCGAGGAAUGUCAGACAACCAUUAGGUGCUGGUCAGGCAGUUGUUAAACUGUCUUGCUAAGAUAAUAGCUGGUUACAGCUGGCACUAGGGAACAGCAAAAACAACUGAAAACAAUGGAAGCUGGUGAUCAGCAGCUUCCCAAUAAGAUCUUGGGAGUUGGGUGAGUGGGCUCAAGCAUGCGCACUAAGAGGUAAAAUGGUGGAGUUUAACUGGUAGACGACCUUCCUCUGGGAACACUGGACUGAUUAGGGAAAAACCCUUCAAGUGAGUGUGCAUGCAACUUCACUAAACGUAUUGUGCAUGCAGCCCCUCCCAAGUGCUGGCAGGCCACUGCUCAUGAGGACAGCCUGCCCAAAGGGAAGAAUGGAGGAGGAGAAAUGGGGAUCCAGGAAAAAUGCCAGUGUAAAAAGACCCCAAGUCAAGGACUAAAUGGGAGCUGAAUCUCUCAAGUCGCCUGCUUGGCCCUCUUCCAAGAGUACUUUGUUUUGUUCCUGCUCUAAGACUUUUUUUUUUUUUUUUUUUGAGAUGGAGUUUCACUCUUGUUGCCCAGGCUGGAGUACAAUGGCACAGUCUCAGCUCACGGCAAC
rnacentral:lncRNA from 1 species